rnacentral:rRNA from 1 species
AUUGAACGCUGGCGGAAUGCUUUACACAUGCAAGUCGAACGGCAGCACGGGGGCAACCCUGGUGGCGAGUGGCGAACGGGUGAGUAAUACAUCGGAACGUGCCCAGUCGUGGGGGAUAACUACGCGAAAGCGUAGCUAAUACCGCAUACGAUCUACGGAUGAAAGCGGGGGAUCGCAAGACCUCGCGCGAUUGGAGCGGCCGAUGGCAGAUUAGGUAGUUGGUGAGGUAAAGGCUCACCAAGCCGUCGAUCUGUAGCUGGUCUGAGAGGACGACCAGCCACACUGGGACUGAGACACGGCCCAGACUCCUACGGGAGGCAGCAGUGGGGAAUUUUGGACAAUGGGCGCAAGCCUGAUCCAGCCAUUCCGCGUGCAGGAUGA